UACGAAGGGAGCUAGCGUUGUUCGGAAUCACUGGGCGUAAAGCGCACGUAGGCGGACUUGUCAGUCAGGGGUGAAAUCCCGGGGCUCAACCUCGGAACUGCCUCUGAUACAGCAAGUCUUGAGUCCGGAAGAGGUGGGUGGAAUUCCUAGUGUAGAGGUGAAAUUCGUAGAUAUUAGGAAGAACACCGGUGGCGAAGGCGGCCCACUGGAUCGGUACUGACGCUGAGGUGCGAAAACGUGGGGAGCAAACAGG
rnacentral:rRNA from 1 species